rfam:Erinaceus europaeus unplaced genomic scaffold scaffold00032, whole genome shotgun sequence
AGCCUUUUCAUAGUUCAUAAGCAUGAUAAUUGGGUUUUCUCGAAGUUAUGUGAGAUGUGCCAUCCAUAAACCUUCUUAUGAUAUCAGCACAUUACCCAUCAGACA